GGCUGAUUUUGGAGAACCCAAUAGGUUGGGCCAACCGGCCUGUUCGGGUUGCACAAGGCAGGCCCGUUGGUGGUCACGGGCUUGUUCGUUUAGGCCAACAAGGCCAGUUUCUGGCCUCUCUACAUGGGGCGACCAAGUUGGGCCUACUUGCCGAAGGUCUUCCUCUCUCAGGCCAUGGGUUGUGCCUCCAUGGGUGGUAGUACAUAUAACCCCGGGCUCGCAUAAAUGCAUGGUUCCGUGAGUAUGUCACUCGUGUCUUGCGCGUAUGCCACGUACGCUAGGCAUGCGAGUUGCUUUUGUCACAUGCUCGCAUGCUGUUUCACACGUGUGAGUCCCCUGCAUUUGCGGGUGGACUCCCAUGCUUGUUACCCAUGUGUUAGAGGUAGUUUAUGUAUGUUGCAUUUGUCUUCCACUAUUGCACUGGACUUUGGGCCUUUCUUUGUGCUUCAUUGUUGACUGUGUUGCUUACCUAGUCAUGUACUAUCAAAUUAAAAAUUCCUUGAAGCUUGCAGGCCCGACUUCGAGUGAAUGGGUCUAUGGGAAACUAGGCUUAUCUCCCUAUUCGCCCUAGUUUGUCAUGGGUUUCAGU
rnacentral:lncRNA from 1 species